GAUGCGAAAUGAGGAUCUUGUUGG
rnacentral:siRNA from 1 species